rnacentral:rRNA from 1 species
GAGUUUGAUCCUGGCUCAGGAUGAACGCUAGCGGCAGGCCUAAUACAUGCAAGUCGAACGGUAAUUCUGGUAGCAAUACUGGAAACGAGUGGCGUACGGGUGAGUAACACGUAUAUAACCUACCCUUAACCGGGGAAUAGCUCCGGGAAACCGGAAUUAAUACCCCAUAACAUCAUAGUAUGGCAUCAUACAGUGAUUAAAGCUUCGGCGGUUAUGGAUGGAUAUGCGGCCCAUUAGCUAGUUGGUGACGGUAACGGCUCACCAAGGCAUCGAUGGGUAGCUGGUCUGAGAGGAUGAUCAGCCACACUGGCACUGAGAUACGGGCCAGACUCCUACGGGAGGCAGCAGUAGGGAAUAUUGGGCAAUGGGCGAAAGCCUGACCCAGCCAUGCCGCGUGCAGGAUUGAAUGUUCUAUGAAUUGUAAACUGCCUUUGUCCGGGACGAAAAAGCCUCAUUCUUGGGGAACUGACGGUACCGGACGAAUAAGGACCGGCUAACUCCGUGCCAGCAGCCGCGGUAAUACGGAGGGUCCAAGCGUUAUCCGGAUUCACUGGGUUUAAAGGGUGCGUAGGUGGUCAGAUAAGUCAGUGGUGAAAUCCUACAGCUUAACUGUAGAACUGCCAUUGAAACUGCCUGGCUUGAGUAUCGUUGAGGCGAGUGGAAUGUAACAUGUAGCGGUGAAAUGCAUAGAUAUGUUACAGAACACCAAUUGUGAAGACAGCUCGCUGGACGAUCACUGACACUGAGGCACGAAAGCGUGGGUAGCGAACAGGAUUAGAUACCCUGGUAGUCCACGCCCUAAACGAUGAACACUAGACGUGUGCGACCUAGUCGUACGUGUCCAAGCAAAAGCGUUAAGUGUUCCACCUGGGGAGUACGGUCGCAAGAUUAAAACUCAAAGGAAUUGACGGGGGCCCGCACAAGCGGAGGAGUAUGUGGUUUAAUUCGAUGGUACGCGAGGAACCUUACCUGGGCUAGAAUGCGCGUGACGUCCGCCGAAAGGUGGAUUCCCUUCGGGGCACAAAGCAAGGUGCUGCAUGGCUGUCGUCAGCUCGUGCCGUGAGGUGUUGGGUUAAGUCCCUCAACGAGCGCAACCCCUAUUCUUAGUUGCUAACAGGUUAAGCUGAGCACUCUAAGAAAACUGCCUGCGUAAGCAGUGAGGAAGGAGGGGAUGACGUCAAGUCAGCAUGGCCCUUACGUCCAGGGCUACACACAUACUACAAUGGUUGACACAAUGGGCAGCCACAUGGCGACAUGGAGCUAAUCCCUAAAUUUAACCUCAGUUCGGAUCGGAGUCUGCAACUCGACUCCGUGAAGUUGGAUUCGCUAGUAAUCGCUCAUCAGCCACGGAGCGGUGAAUACGUUCCCGGUCCUUGUACACACCGCCCGUCAAGCCAUGGGAGUCGAAAGUACCUGAAGUCGAUAACCGAAAGGAGUCGCCCAAGGUAAGUUCGAUGUCUGGGGCUAAGUCGAAACAAGGUA